rnacentral:tRNA from 1 species
GCCGGUGUGGCGGAAUUGGCAGACGCGUGCGACUCAAAAUCGCAUUCCUCUGGAGUGUGGGUUCGAGUCCCACCACCGGUACCA